GGAAGUGUUUGAUGUCUGUUAACAUGCUCACCGGUUUCCGAAGCUUCAUCUGCCGCAGUGAGCCGUGGGCUCUGACUCCUACAAGUCACAGCUGAACAUGUGAGAAAGUCCGAGGUCCCUUCUGCAGAAAGGAGCAGGUACCAGGGAGCAACUCCACCGCACCGCCUGUCACCCCGGGGAUGUGACUCAUGACUUGGUGACCUUCAGACCAAGCUCAGCUCACUGUGACCCACAGCUCAGCUCGCAGUGUCUCCAGUGAAGAUAACAUUCCUUACCUUGCUUUCAGAAUUAAUGAGACGUUUUUUUUUAAGAACCCAUGGCUGCAAAGCACUAAUUAUUAUUCUUCUAAGCCAUCCUCAGAAUAAACCUUUUGAGAGGCGCGAUCUGGAGGAGGUGCGGGGCCCAGAGAACAAAGAGGCAGCUGUGCCGGCUUUUCUGGGAGGCGAGACGCGCACAGUCUCAGCACGGCGCGCCCCUUGGACACGCUACACCAUUUCUCUGACAAAGAUCACCCACGAAGGGACAGGAGUUUCUUUGGUGUUAUUUAUACCCGAACCGCGGAAAGAAAAAAAAACUAAAGACAGGGCAUACUUCUUCAGUUUGAGACCACAUAGAACUCAGGGUUCCGAAUGCCUCCCACUUGGCCAAGGCUGGACUUACUCAUGAAAUUAUACACCAGGGCUGUGCAAUUAAACAUUCUCUGUCAGGGAAUACAUCUGGGUGCCCAGCCUCAGCUUUUCAGGAUGGCGCCGGGACUGACCGUGGCUUUCUUCUGACAGGGGUUGAGCUUCCAAGUGUCCCCAGGAAUGGAUGCAGAGAUGCUGGGCAGACUGCCCUUGACUUGAGCCCUUGCUCACCUGCAUGAGGUGCUUAGGAGGCUGGACGUGUUCUCCCAAGAGAAGACACUGCACGCGACCUCGCGCUCCUUAGCCCAAAAUUCAGUUGUGCUGGUUCACUUCUCCUCCCCUCCCAGCGGACAAGAGAUUAUAAUUACAAACCCAGUCCCGCUAAUUAGGGACUUUGGGGGCCUGUUAAAAGGUCCCUUUCCGGUUGGUCUCCAGAUUUCUGCCAGCUUGCAAACGGUGUUGAUGACAAUGACUGUGAAACAUGGCCCAGAAUGAGACCUCGUUUCACAGUCAAGGGGAAUGGCAUCUGUCUGAACUCAUGUCAGCACGCCUAAAAUACAUGCACUAAGAAUUCUACCAUUCUGUCUCUUCCUCUACUAUUCUAUGGCUUCUCGCAACAUCAGCCUACCAUUCUCAUCCAGAAACUGCUUUCCGACAAAAAAGCAUCAUCCGGAGACGUUAAUGGAUGAAGUGCAUCAGAUACGACUAUCAGACAUCUUUCAGCUUCACAGGCUCUCUCCCUCACUCCCCUCUGAGCCCACCUGCUCAACUCCGCCCCUCGCCCAGCACAAACACAAUGACGGAUGCGCUUUCAUCCUCAUUAAUAAACAAGUAGUCACAGCAAUUGCUACCCUGUCUCUACCUUCUUUAAUGAACUCCGUAAAAUUUACCAGGCAAGAUUUCCCAUAUCUCUCCUCCCAAAAACCUGUCACUAAACUCAGGCCAAAAAAGUGAACGU